CUAGCUAGCUGAAUCAUUAUCCCCAAGAUGCUAUUCUGCACUGCACCAGGGGAAAGGACAGCUAAGAAGAGUGAUUUUUUGGCUUGUGCUAAUCAUAUUCACUUGGUGAUAUUUACAGUCUUACUGCUCACUCCUCCUUUGAGUGGCGUUUCAAAAGUUUGAGGUAUCUAUAAAUAUCCCUUGCCUAUAACAGAUGCUCUCAUGUCUUCUUUGCCUCUUAUGGAUUUUAAGCAGAGAUAUUCAAUGGAUAAGCUGAGGAUCUGGUAAAUUCCACUUUAUUUUGAGUAGAAACAUUCAUCAAAGCCCAAAUAGACUCCUCUUUAGCCCACCUUAAAAAAAAUUGAUAGAUUCACAGAUAAAGCAAGUACAGAUAUUAAGAAGGUUUUUUUUCUUCUUUUUUUCAAACAUCUAUAUUUAAGGCAACAUUAGCUAAAUCACCUGACUAUCCUAUCAUUAGGUCUAAAAUGCUAGCCAAUGGAAACUGAUUUUUAUAAUGAUAAUCCUGAAAUGUUUAAAAA
rnacentral:lncRNA from 1 species